GGAGUUAUUGUUUGUGUGUAGGGAUGUGUGGAUAAAAGGGAGCUGAUUUCUAGAGGUGAGAUGGCCCUGUGGUUAACGGUUGGAGGCUGCUGUUGACAAGGCCUGUUGCUGUGGCAGUUUUGCUCCGGAAGUGGCCAUUUUCUGGGCAGGGCUCCACCAGAGCACCAUCUGUCUGUGCCUUUUACUUCCUGUCAAGAGGCAGCAGGCUUCGUGAGCUGGGGAAGUGCCAGAAGCAGCCUUCGAAUUAGACAGACCUGGACCCAAACCCUUUCUCUUCCCCCCACCCAUUUUGGCAUCUUGGCACGAGACUGUCCCCAUUUCUGGAAAGGGUGUUCACAAGAACAGUCUGGCUGGGUUGUUGGGAUGACCGAGUGUGAUCAUGCGUCUCUAUGGCUGGCCAUGGUGUUUAUUCGAUGGCAGGUAUUACCAGGAUGGAGCGAGUCCCAGUAGGAAGGGCCUUUAGGAUGUCAUCUGGUUCCACCCAACAGGGAUGGGAACUGUAAUUCCCCACUCUCCCUGUGGAGAAUCAGGGCGGGCUCCGGAUGGAUGGCCAAAGGCUGCACAGAGCCCUUGUUCUUUAGCCACAGGUUGAAGAUGACAGUAGAUCCUAAGGAACCUCAGUUCUAUCCCGAAAUGCGAAGGCCUUUUUACUCAACCACAAAGAAGUGGUCAGCAGAAAACUGGUCAUCCCGGCCUCUGGGGCCAUGCACAGCACUCAGGAGGAGCUACUAUUUUCCCUGCCUGUUUACAUGCGGCCUGGGGCCUUGUGGGCUAUUUGAAAAUUAGGACACGAGAAGUCCAAGCAGCACCUGACUGGGAGCUCCAUGAGGUCCGAGACAACCUGAAGACGCCCAGCUCAGCAGAGACUGGCUACGGCAAUCACUCAGUAACUAUUUGUUGAAUUGGACAUAAUAGAAGAGCUGAAGAAUUUUAAACAAGUCACCAUCAGUGCAGUGGAUUCCUCAAAGCAAACCUGGAAAUCUCGGCAUGAGUUGGAUUUAAGGCAGUACAUUUUCAGCUCCUGAAAAUUUGAACAGUUUCUCAAGAGAACAACUUGAAACAGAAAGGCAAGGAUGUAGAUGUGGUUGUAGAAGAUGAUGUCUGCGGCCACCAAACUGUCCACUGUGAAGACAAACCAUGCAUGUUUAGUAGGCAGUGGCUCCUCUUCCCUGUGGGGAGUCCCACUGCUUCCCUGGCCUGGGUGUUCUCUGCCGGUAGAUGUUAUUGACAAAAUAAGCAAAGUCCUCUGAUUCUGAGAAUUAGAGUUAAUGAUAGCUCUAGAUUGCCUCUGCCAUGCUAUUUAAAGUCCUGCUUUAUUGUCUGACAUGAGUUCGGCAUCUAUGAGGACUUGUCCAGUGCAAAGUACAAUCUCCACUGAAAGAUAUCACCAGCACAUCUUGUCACUGUGCUGUAGCAAGCUGGGCAGUACAAUGAUGUUGGCAGGAUCCUGUUUAGGUGGAGGAUGGCCACCUGGGCAUCAAGAAUCUUCUACCCUGAUUCCACAUUGACUCCCCAAAGUGGGCUUCAGACAGCUCUUUACUUACGUCUUCUGAUUAAAGCAGCAGACAGGGUCCCAGCUAGAGAAAAGUUCUGGGAGCAGGAGAGGUGUUGGUGGCUUUAAAACCAGGGGUGAAGAUUGAAUUAGGAGGUUAGGCAGGAGUAGGAUCAAAGACUUAGAAAAUGCUUGUUUCCUCCUAUUAUUCUUAUGAGAGCUGAUACGGGGCUUUCAGUUUUGGGGGAGAGCCUUGGAAGAGAAUGAGGGAAUUUAAUCAACUAGCGGGACCUUUCCAACUUACAUUUCCCAGUGUUUGUUGGAUGAUACGUUUGCCUAAUAAGUUAAAGCUUCCAAAAAUAGAAAGGAAAGCUUGGUGACACUAAGCUCUGGCAUGCUGUCAUCUUCUGGCUAGGGGUCUUGUGCUUCUGUUUUUCUAUUUCUGACCAAAGACAUAAAAUGUGUUGUGACCUCUCAGGUAAUGCUGUGGUAUCAUGUCCAAGCAGUAACUAACCAGAGUGGAGUUUUUACAGGUAAAAAAGUAUUGAAUAGCUCAGCAACAGGGAGGACUUAAUGAUAAAUUGCUUUUUCAGAAAAUGACAAGGGGACAGACACUUGCGGUUCUUCCAUUGAGAGCCUUAAGGAAGUUAAGCGAAGCCUCUGCUCACCCCUUCAAGUAACGAUGACCCAUCAGAUCGUGGUCAUAACCAGUAGCAUCUGAGGCACCCCUAAGCUCUCUGGGCCCCAGAUUCCUUGUUAAGUUAAAUGAGGUGACUUCCCAGUUUACCAUUCUAGGGGUUCCUGAGGAGUUAAAAAUGAAGGAGAAAAUGCAACAUGUACCAAGUGAGCAAGAGCUCAAGGCUUAUCUCUGGCACGAAAGUGACCGCUGUCCGUUAGAGAUGUGAUUGCCCUAGAUUUCCUUUAGGAAAUGCAAACAUUGAACUCUGGCCUUCAGGACCCAAGUCCCGGCUUGCAUCUAUUCUAUACACUUUCUGUUAUUUGUUAGGGCUCACAAGGAACAGUUAUUUAUCUUUUAUUUUCUAUUUUUUUUUUAGAGAUGGAGUCUCACUCUGUCUCCCAGGCUGGAGUGCAGUGGUGCCAUCUCAGCUCACUGCAACCUCCACCUCCCGGGUUCAAGCAAUUCUCCUGUCUCAGCCUCCUGAGUAGCUGGGACUACAGGCGUGUGCCAUCAUGCCCGGCUAAUUUUUAGUAUUUUUAGUAGAGGCAGGGUUUCACCAUAUUGGCCAGGCUGGUCUUGAACUCCUGAUCUCAAGUGAUCUACCCUCCUUGGCCUCCCAAACUGCUGGAAUUACAGAUGUGAGCGACCACACCUGGCCCAUUUGUUUUCUUUCAAACCCUUCUGUAAGACCAGUGCUUUAGGUGAACACGUGGACAGAACAAGAUCAUCACUAUUUUGCAAUAUGAAGACCAACUGCGCUGUGACCAGAAAAACAGAGGCAAAAUGUUGAGCUUAAUGAUACCUUUUUAUAAUUUGUAUUUGGUGUUUCUCAAUUUUCCAUUGGAUAGUUUGAGAGAUAAGUACAAGUCAAUGACAUGUUCUCUUUCGUACCCUAUUGUCUAAUCCUGCUAACACACACACACACACACACACACACACUGAUUACCUAAUUUAUCUGUUCCCCGAUUAUUACACUCUCAAUUGCUGCAGAGUCUCAGAAGCAGCAUGGUGUAACAGAAAGAAUAUGAGGCUUAGAAUCCAAAAGCCAGAGUGUGAAUUCCAGCUCCACUGACUUGCUGCGUGACUUGAAGCAAGUCAUUACGUGUCUCUGUUUACUCAUUUUAUGACUUUCCUAUUGCCUCUGUAAUAUAGCACCACAAACGUGUGGACUUAAAACAACAUGCAUUUAUUCUCUUAGCGUUCUGGAGGUCAGGAGUCUGACAUCAAUUUCGUUGGGCUAAAAUCAAGAUGUUGGUAGGACCAAGAUCCCCGUGGAGGCUCUGGGAGAACCCAUUUCCUUGCCUUUGCCAGCUUCUAAUGCUGCAUUCCUUGCAUUCCUUGAUUGUUGACCUCUUCCCCCAUCUUCAAAGCCAGCAGAACAGCACCUUGUUUCAUUGCCUUCUUUACUGUCAAAUCUCCCUCUGCCUUCUUCUUAUAAGAACACUUGUGGUUGCAUUUAGAAGCUGUGAUAAUCCAGAAUAAUAUCUUUAUCUCAAGAUCUUUGACUUGGUCUCUUCUGCAAAGUCUCUUUUGCCACAGAGGGAAAUAUUCACAGGUCCCAGGGGUCAGGCUGUGUACGUCUUUGGGGGACUUUAUUCUGCCUACCACACUCAUCUUUUUUUUUUUUUUUUUUGGAUGGAGUCUUGCUCUGUCACCCAGGCUGGAGUGCAGUGGCAUGAUCUCGGCUCACUGCAACUUCUGCCUCCCCAGUUCAAGCAAUUCUCCUGCCUCAACCUCCCAAGUAGCUGGAAUUACAGGCGCCUGCCACCACGCCCGGCUACUUUUUGUACUUUUAGUAGAGAUGGGGUUUCACUAUGUUGGCCUGGCUGGUCUUGAACUCCUGACCUCAGGUGAUUCCCCCACCUUGGCCUCCCAAAGUGCUGAGAUUACAGACGUGAGCCACCAUGCCCGGCCCCACACUCAUCUAUUAAGUAGAGCUAGGAAUUCCUAUCCUAAGGGACACAAAAAUGAAAAAAGAUAAAAUUUGUGAAGAGGCACAUAAUGAAAGCCCAUACAUGUCACUGAGUUCAGAGGAGGGUGGGUCUGACCUCCCAUUGGCUGGUCUCUGCCUGAUGGACAUCGUGAAGAAGAGAGCCAGGACUAGUGUGGCUGGGGGAUGUUCAGGGGCCAGAGUGGCUUCAGGUGCCAGCAGCCCUGGCCGAAGGAUGACUCCAGGAGCAAGGCUCAGAGCCGAGUGGAAGAAGCUUCAUAAACGCAACUGAGCCAAGCAUGAUGGGAUGUGCCUGUGGUUCCAGCUACUCAGGAGGCAGGUGGGAGGAUGGCUUGAGUCAGAAGUUCGAGGCUGCAGUGAGCUAUGAUCACACUACUGUACUCCAGCCUGGGUGACAGAAUGACACCCUGUCUCUAAAAAGAAAAGGCACCUGGAUGCUCAUGACCGAGAUGGGGUGGGGUGGGUGGGGUGGGACAGCCGCACUUUAUAACUUUGCUUUCAGCAUGAUGUGGAUUAGUGUCUCCCAUGUGGGAAAAUUAUGUUUACCACUUAGAGACCUGAUAGUGCUUGCUUACCCCAUAACGCUGGACGGUGGCAGGCUUAACUCCCCCAUCAAGGGCCUUAAUGUAUUUGGGGCCCUAGUCCUAGCAACAGCAGCAAAUCUCCUUUUUCUUUUCCUCGAGCUGGUUGUUCACCAGGCAGUUGGGAUGUUAAUGGGAAGAGAAGACACACACAAGUCCCUUGUUUUCAAUAAGGCAGUCUGGUCACGUCCUUAGCAGGUUAUUAAUCUUUUUCAAACCCCUCCUCUCCACCAAGUUUUAUGAUCCUGGGAAGGAGAUUCCUACCUAGCAUCCUUAGAGUUAUCGGGGGUUAGGAUCGGUGCAUGCAGUCACUUCCGUGGAAUCAUCAGUAGCCCUCCAGCCUCUGGGGAGAGCUGCCAGUGGUCAGAGAUGUUGGGAAUUACGAGGGAGGAGCUAGGGAGAAGGAACUCACAGUCCCUCAGUCUCUGAAGGUGGCUCCUGGCAGGAGAGGGGGCCAGUCCUAGAUAAGAGCUCUCCCAGGGAAUUCCAAGGGUCCUCCCAAGGUCCAGCCACAAGAUGAGGAAUUACUGUUGGGCUCUUCCUCAGAUGUGCCUGUGAAUUCAUAUCACAGAUGCUUGAUGCAUUUGACAAUUGUUUAAUUGCUUGAGCCCAACUGAUACUCUUUCAGUCACUUUAAGGGAGUGAUUUCAAGUAUGAUCAUUGCCUCAAAUCUGUAUGGCUUUCCUUGCCUUUCAGGUGCUUUAAGAGGGCUUAUGUUCUUUGACUCCCCUAGUAACUCAAAAGGGUGGCUAAGAUGCAACUCUGGAGGUUUCCAAGCUCUCUGCAAAGCCUGCCUUCAGUAGUCUGUGCACCACAAGAAGCAUAACUUUAUUAUCCUCUAGCUGAAUUUACCUCCUGCUUCGAGCCCCUGUUUUCCCAUGUCAUUUUAGGGGUCCAAUGUUUUUCCUGGAGGCAUAUACACACACACACACACACACACACACACACACACACACACACACACACACACAUAUAUACACACACACAUUCCAGGGGCCUCUGAGGUGCCAAGACAUGUGUGGGGUCCAUCUGGUUCACACUGAUGUCCAUGAUCAUUGAGUUCAUUUUUUAUAUCAACUAUGUGACACUUCCUAUAGUUUCCAGUUCCUGGUUAGAAUUUGCAAAGUUGCCGACUAUUUCUUUGAAUAGAGUAGCUAGAUCAUGGGUCUACACCAGUCAUCAAGCAGCGAUUUCCCUGUUGGAAGCUCCAAGCAAAUUGUCAGCUCCAGCAUUCCACACAGCUGUGGGUGCCACACUCCUUUUCCUUUUAAAAGAUGAUGAUCUGCUAGUGGUGAAUGCUCUUGGAGUUUUAUUUGUAGGUUUUUCUUGUUGUCGCAAAUGUCUAUAUUUCAUCUUCCCUCUUGAGGGAUAUUUUCCAUGGGUAGAGGAUCUAGGCUUUUCUUUUGGAUUCCAUUGUGGCUUUAAAAAAAAGUCAGUUGACUGUUUAUUUAUGGCUUCUCUAAAGGUGAUCUCUUUCUUCCUAAGGCUGCUUUAAAAGUUUCCGUUCCCUCCCUCCCUUCCUCCCACCCCAUCCCCCUUCUUCCUUUCCUUCCUCCCUCCCUUCCUCCCUUCUCUUCCUCCCUUUCUCCCUUGUCUUCCUCCUUUUCUCCCAUCCUCCCUUCCUCCCUCUUUCCUUCUUUUUUCCCUUCCUCCCGCCCUCCUUCCUUCUUCCAUCAUUAUAUAUUAAAAUAUUUUCUUUCUUUCUUUUUUUUUUUUGAGAUGGAGUUUCGCUCUUGUUGCCCAGGCUGGAGUGCAACGGUGUGAUCUUGGCUUACUGCAACCUCCACCUCCCUGGUUCAAGCGAUUCACCUGCCUCAGCCUCCCUAGUAGCUGGGAUUACAGGUGCCCGCCACCACACCCAGCUAAUUUUUGUAAUUGUAGUAGAGAUGGGGUUUCACCAUGUGGGCCAGGCUGGUCUUGAACUCCUGAACUCAGGUAAUCCACCCGCCUUGUCCUCCCAAAGUGCUGGAAUUACAGGCAUGAGCCACCACUCCCAGCCUAUUAAAAUAUUUUCUUCUGGGCCUUCCCUCCUUUUACUUCUUUUGAUACCGCCAUCAAAUGCAUGUUAGGUUGACUCACUGUGUACUCUAUUACCCUCUCAUCUGGUUUUUAAUCUUUCUGUCUCCUUAUACUGUAAUCUCAGUGUUUCUUCUGCUUUAAUUUUGGUAUAUGAAUUAUUCAGCUGUGUUCAAAGUGUGGUUAAAGCGACUUAUAUGCUCUUUAAUUUUUAGUUAUUGUACUUUUCACCUCUAGAAGUUCUUCUGUGACACUUCUUAUAGUUUCCAGUUCCUGGUUAGAAUUUGCAAACUUGUUGACUAUUUCUUUGAAAAGAGUAGCUAGAAUUGUUUUAGUCUGUGUAUAGUGAGUUGAAUAUCUGAAACCUCUGUGAGUCUGUUUCUUUUGUCUGCUAGCCCUACUCAUGGCGUCAUGUUUUCCUGGAUGUUUAGUUGGUUGUCUUUGAAUAUGUCCAACUCCAGUUAUUUCUGGGAAUACCCAAAGGCACACCUGUUCACUAUCACCCAGUGAACUGCCAUGUGUUUGUCUCCUGUCAUGGUAACAUUUGCAUUCAGGGAGAGGCCUCUGCUCUCUGCAGAACAGUGUGAAAUCACCUCAUUUUUGCCUUCAAUGAAGGUUGUCUCUUGCUGGUCACCACCACUUCCUCAAAUGACUAAUGCCACUCUUGCUCACAGUGCUAAGGCGCUAAGGAGUUUUCAGAGGGCUAGAGUGAUUCUGCAUCCUCUGGGGUUCUCAGGAAACGAGGCCACAGGGCCAUCUGUGCAUGAGUGACAGUGGGGUGGGGUGGAUGAGCAGUGGCAGUGGUGGGCACCUAUGCUGCUGGCGCCACAGCUUUUUAUAUCUUGGUGAAAACAACGCCUUGCGUUUUCACUUGUAGAUUCUCCGGCUACAUUCCACAAGAACAAAUUCUGGUCACAGAGGCCAGAGUAGACUAUCAGUGUAAUGGCCCUUCCCCUUUGAUGAUAGCAGCUUUUUUCGGGGGAGCAGGGGUGGCCAAACUUCCUAGCCUUAUUUUAUCUUCCUUUCUAGUUCUCCCCAGAGGCUGCUGGGUCCACCUCUCCCUCUGCCAGACAGACAGGCUCAGACAUGCAAGAACGGAAGGGGGUGUGGGGGUUGGUGGGAGGAUUAAGUUGGGGAAAGCCAGUCUUGUCUUUGUAGAUUACCAGAACUGACACACGUACACACACGUACACUCACUCACUCACUCACUCAUCUAUUCAUCUAUUUUUGGCCUAAGUGCCUUUGGACACUUCUUCGGAAAAGCACAUGAACUCUUCGGAGUCUCCUGUUCCACUUGGUAAAUUUCCUAUAGCCACGCACUGAAAGUCCCUGCUGCCCUCCUUCCUCUGAGCUUGUGGGGCCCACAGAUCCCCUGCUCCACUUCCUGCUUCAUUUCAGCUGAUGGUGAGUCCAGGGCAGGCUUGUAGGAAGGGCGGGCUAGGCGUGGGGAACUGCAGCACCCACCCCACCCCCCGCCCCAGUGCUUGUUGCCCCAGCCUCUGUCUCCCUCGCUGUGCCCUUCCCUUAAGCCCCACUCUUGGCCUCCCCAAAGACAGAGUUUGUUCUGUUUUUAUUGAUAGGAUGACACUCCCUCGUUCUAAUACCAUCUGAAUGCCUGAGCAAUUACAUCUUACAACCUCAUGAAAAACACAGCAGCUUGUCACGAUGAAUGAUGUUACCGUGAAUAAUGCAGUUUUGAGUUCAAACUCCUUCUUAUUCCAAGAAUGAGUAAAUAUCCCUAUUCCCUCCCCUCCCCAUUGCAUUUGGGUUUGACAUGACAUGAAUCAUUGUGGUUUUACUCCUGGGUAGAAUUGUUUUUCUGUAUUGCAUUGCCAAUUGAUGGAAGGACAAAAAAAGGAAACUUACCAAUGAGCAGUUUCAGAUGAACUUAAAUUCUCAGAAAUCUUGAAGAAUGAAUGAACUAUAACUUUCUGAAGUUGCAAAAAUGUUCAAGUCGGAAGUGACCCAUGGGAAGCAACCUGGUCCUUAAUUAGGACUGGAAAGAAAACGGAGGCCCAGCGAGGGAACAGUGGCUUCCCCAAGGUCACACUGCAAGUGAGUGGUGGCACUAGUCACCCAGGAGUCCUCCUGACUCCAUGGUAUCCUGACCCCAGACCAGCAGCCUUAUUUGUGGUUAAAGAACGUGGAAAAACAGCUUAUGUUUGAAUUUUAAAAUCAUGCCAGUACUAAAGAUCUGCAUUCCAUGAAUAUUGAGCUUUGCUGUGUGCGGGUUGCUACGAAUUUUGUAACUAUUUUCUCUAAGAGCUCUCAGUAUUUUACAUAUACAAUUCCAUUCUUUAUUGUCCAGGGAAAAAGUUGCAUUUACUGAGCAGUAAGAGGGUGAUUUGAAGUCCCUGGGGUCCCCCACCCUUGUCUUUCUAUGUGAGAUUGUAUUGCAGGGCUCACAUUUAUUCUCUCAGCAGCUCAUUGCACAGACAGUGUAUUUAUUGAGCACCUACUGUGUGCCAGGAGCUAUGUGGUAAGCUAAGCAGACAAAAACUCCUGCUCUCACAAGAAGAAAGAAUAAACAAGCAGACAAUUGCACCUAUAAUGUCAGCCUGGUGUGAUGGCUCACUCCUGGAAUCCUAGCACUUUGGGAGGUGACGAUGGGAGGAUUGCUUUAACUCGGGAGUUCAAGAUAAGCCUGGGCAACCAAGACCCUGUCUCUACAAAAAAAUCAAAAAAUUAGCUGGGGGUGAUGGCAUGAGUCUCUGGUCCCUCGGGACCAGAGGCCUCGGGAGGCUGAGGCGGGUUUAUCACUUGAGCCUGGGAGGUUGAGGCUGCAGUGAGCUGUGAUCACACCACUGCACUCCAGCCUGGGCCACAGAGCGAGACCCUGUCUCUAAAUAAACAAACAACCUAAUGUCAAGUUAGGAAGUGUGGCAAAAAGGAACAAAGUCAGGGUGACUGCCAUUCUAGAAAGGGUGGUGAGGGAAGGUCUCCUUGAGCAGAUCCUGUGGGAGUGGAAGGGUAAGUCACGAGACUCUCUGGAGGAAGAAGAUUCCAGGUGGAAAUGCCUUAGUGGGUGUUAAACGCUUUAACGGGUGUUAGCCAGAAAGCCAGAAUGGCUGGAGCUGAGGGAGUAGAGGAGGCGGCAUAGAAAAUGAGGUCAGAGAUGGAGGCAGGGCCGGAUCACAGAGGGGCACAGAGAACGAGGAGGGAAUUGGAUUUUUGGAAAAGAUUGUGGCAAAAUACAAAAUAUAAAAUACAAAAAUAAAAUAUAAACCAUAAAAUGUACUACCUUUACCAUUUUAAGUAUGCAGUUCAGUAGUGUUAAAUACAUUUACAUCAUUGUUCAACCCGUCUCCAGAACUCUCUGCAUCUUGCAAAAUUAAAACUCUAUGCCAUUUCAACAGUUCGCAUUUCCUCUUCCCUCUCGUUCAUGGCAACCGCCAUUUUUCUUUCUGUCUCUGUAAAUGUUAGUACUUGGGGUAUCUCAUCUAAGUGGAAUCACACAGUGUGUGUCCUUUUGUGACAGACUUAUUUCACUUUGCAUAAUGUCCUUAAUAUUCAUCCAUGUUGUAGCAUGUGUCAGAUUUUCCUUCCUUCUUAACAUUGUGUAAUAUUCCAUUGUACGCAUAGACUACAUUUAGCUUAUCUGUUCACCUGUGGAUGGACACUUGGGUUGCUAUAGUGAAUAAUAUUGCUGUAAAUAUGGGUAUACGAUUAUCUCUUUGUGACCCUGCUUUUAAUUGUUUUGGAUAUAUACCCAGAAAUGGAAUUACUGAAUCAUGUGGAGAUUCUGUUUUUGAUUUAUUUAUUUAUUUUUAAUUUUUGAGAUGGAGUCUCGUUCUGUCACCCAGGCUGGAGUGCAGUGACACGAUCUCUGCUCACUGCAACCUCUGCCUCCUUGCACCAUUAAUUCUGAAAAUGCAGGCCUGGAUCCAACCGCCUUUGGGGACGGGUACCUGCCCACAGGAAGAGGUUGAGGAGACAAUAAUGUCACGAGAAUCAUCAUCUUUGACUGGGAAAUGGUGUGCAGAGUUUCUGGUGCCUUCUGAAGUGAUUGUCGCAUCUCAGCCUCCCUAGUAGCUGGGAUUACAGGCAUUUGCCACCAAGCCCGGCUAAUUUUUGUAUUUUUAGUAGAGACGGGGUUUCAUCAUGUUGGCCAGGCUGGUCUCAAACUCCUGACCUCAGGUGAUCCACCUGCCUCAGCCUCCCAAAGUGCUGGGAUUAUAGGUGUGAGCCAUGCACCUGGCCUGAUUGGUUAUUUAAAUUCUGAGAUGGGGUAUACUAAUGUUUGAAAACCACAGGGAUGGGAUAGGUAUAGGUGGGGAGGGAGAGCAAAAGUGGUAUUUAGAAUAUGUUACGUUUGAAAAACCUAAUACACAUUCUACAUCCAAGUGGACAUAGAUGGAGUUAUUUGA
rnacentral:lncRNA from 1 species